rnacentral:rRNA from 1 species
GACGAACGCUGGCGGCGUGCUUAACACAUGCAAGUCGAACGGAAAGGCCCUGCUUUUGUGGGUUGCUCGAGUGGCGAACGGGUGAGUAACACGUGAGUAACCUGCCCUUGACUUUGGGAUAACUUCAGGAAACUGGGGCUAAUACCGGAUAUGAGCUCCUGCUGCAUGGUGGGGGUUGGAAAGUUUCGGCGGUUGGGGAUGGUCUCGCGGCUUAUCAGCUUGUUGGUGGGGUAGUGGCUUACCAAGGCUUUGACGGGUAGCCGGCCUGAGAGGGUGACCGGCCACAUUGGGACUGCGAUACGGCCCAGACUCCUACGGGAGGCAGCAGUGGGGAAUAUUGCACAAUGGGCGGAAGCCUGAUGCAGCAACGCCGCGUGCGGGAUGACGGCCUUCGGGUUGUAAACAACUUUCGAAUGUGACGAAGCGUGAGUGACGGUAAUGGGUAAAGAAGCAACGGCUAACUACGUG